GAUGAACGCUGGCGGCGUGCCUAAUACAUGCAAGUCGAGCGAACGGACGAGAAGCUUGCUUCUCUGAUGUUAGCGGCGGACGGGUGAGUAACACGUGGAUAACCUACCUAUAAGACUGGGAUAACUUCGGGAAACCGGAGCCAAUACCGGAGAAUAUUUUGCACCGUAUGGUUCAAUAGCGCAAGACGGUCUUGUUGACAGUGAUAGAUGUAUCCGCGCUGCAUUAGCUAGUUGGUAAGGUAACGGCUUACCAAGGCAACGAUGCGUAGCCGACCUGAGAGGGUGAUCGGCCACACUGGAACUGAGACACGGUCCAGACUCCUACGGGAGGCAGCAGUAGGGAAUCUUCCGCAAUGGGCGAAAGCCUGACGGAGCAACGCCGCGUGAGUGAUGAAGGUCUUCGGAUCGUAAAACUCUGUUAUUAGGGAAGAACAUAUGUGUAAGUAACUGUGCACAUCUUGACGGUACCUAAUCAGAAAGCCACGGCUAACUACGUG
rnacentral:rRNA from 1 species